GCCCCCGUAGCCCAACUGGCAGAGGCACGCUGCUUAAACCAGCGCAAGUGCAGGUUCGAACCCUGCCGGGGGCAC
rnacentral:tRNA from 1 species